rnacentral:rRNA from 1 species
UACGUAGGCAGCGAGCGUUGUUCGGAGUUACUGGGCGUAAAGGGUGUGUAGGCGGUUGUUUAAGUUUGGGGUGAAAUCUCCCGGCUCAACUGGGAGGGUGCGCCGAAUACUGAAUGACUUCGAGUGCGGGAGAGGAAAGUGGAAUUCCUGGUGUAGCGGUGAAAUGCGUAGAUAUCAGGAGGAACACCGGUGGUGUAGACGGCUUUCUGGACCGUAACUGACGCUGAGGCACGAAAGCGUGGGGAGCAAACAGG